GGAUUGUGACUCAGUGGUAGUGUGCUUGCCUAGCAUGUGUGAGGCACUGAGUUCAAUUCUGAGCACCA
rnacentral:tRNA from 1 species